AAAUAAUAAAAAUACAUUACAUCUCCAGCCACUGCCUGUUAUUUUAUUAUUAAUUUUGGAAAACCAAAACUUUAUUCCAUUCUAGAAAGUCCACAUUAUCAGCCCUAGACAUAUGUCGAAUUAAAAUAUAUCCCAUUCCAAAAGGCUGACGCAUCUCCGAUAGCUUGGACAUCCCACUCUACAAGCUAAAAAAUAGCAAACAUAGUAAAAACAAUAAGGUCCAACGUACUCUUCAUUUGGAUGGCUAAGCUAUCUCGUUGGCCAAAUGAGCAGCUGGAGUGGCCAAAGUUGGUCAGCCAAUCCAAACUUGCCAUCAGUGGGCCCUAUGCGUGGGGCCCACCCCGCACCUCUCCCAUCUAGGCCAAACUCGUGGGUGCCUGAGUUAAAGCGCGACGACGCCAUGUUCCUCGCCUUCCUUGGCCGACCAAGGCCGCCACCGCAGGCCGUCGUCGUAGUUGUCAGGUCGUCGUCGCCUCCCCGCACCACCUCCCCGUGCCACGCCACUGAGAGAAAGAGAAAGAGAUUGAGAGAGGAAGAGAGAGAAAGAGAGAGGAAGAGGAUGACGUGUGGGGUUCUGAUGUCAUAGACUCGGGAUAGAGAGGAUGGAUGAAGAGUAUAUUGAAAUAAAAAAAAUGAAUUUAACUUAACAAAUAAAAUAAAGAGUAGCAAAAUAGAUAUUUGGAGAGUUAAAUUUAGAGAGACAGUUGAAAAUGCUCUUAGAUUAAGGGUCCGCAGAGCCAGACAGGCCAGCUUAUACUAUAUGAUGGUAGGUCCCCUCCGGAGUAACAUGAAUGAGGGGGGUAGCAAGCGUAUCUCCAAGCCCCUGGAGCGAGAGAGAACGCCGGAGAUAUCGGAUACGUAUCUCCGGUGGGGACUCAAAUUAAACCCCUCUCACAUGAUGCAUGCCAGGUACAGAGAGAGAGAGAGAGAUCGAUACAAGUACUAUAGAUGUGUGUGUGUGAAGCCAUGGCGAGAGAGAGAAGCGAUGUAACUCACUCCGGCCGUAUCGUCCGUCAUGAAGAGGGAAACGGGGGAGGGGGGCAAAUAAAUCCGGUGUCUGCGCUGCGGCGAGCGAGCGGCCGGACGGGCGGGGGAGGAGAGGCGCAAUCAAUGAAGCCCCCCUCCCUCCCCACCCCCGCCACACACACACCCCUUCCUUCAAAUGCGU
rnacentral:lncRNA from 1 species